rnacentral:rRNA from 1 species
AUUGAACGCUGGCGGCAUGCCUAACACAUGCAAGUCGAGCGGAGCGGCGGACGGGUGAGUAAUGCCUAGGAAUCUGCCUGGUAGUGGGGGAUCACGUCCGGCAACGGGCGCUAAUACCGCAUACUAUCAGAUGAGCCUCGGUCGGAUUAGCUAGGUGGUGGGGUAAAGGCUUACCAAGGCGACGAUCCGUAGCUGGUCUGAGAGGAUGAUCAGUCACACUGGAACUGAGACACGGUCCAGACUCCUACGGGAGGCAGCAGUGGGGAAUCUUGGGCAAUGGACGAAAGCCUGAUCCAGCCAUGCCGCGUGAGUGAAGAAGGUCUUCGGAUUGUAAAGCACUUUAAGUAGAGAGGCGUUACCAACAGAGUAAGCACCGGCUAACUACGUGCCAGCAGCCGCGGUAAUUC